AGUGAACGCUGGCGGCAGGCCUAACACAUGCAAGUCGAGCGGCAGCGCGUCCGACCACCCUCGGGUGGUCGGAUGGCGGCGAGCGGCGGACGGGUGAGGAAUGCAUCGGAAUCUGCCUCGUUGUGGGGGAUAACGUAGGGAAACUUACGCUAAUACCGCAUACGACCUACGGGUGAAAGUGGGGGACCUUCGGGCCUCACGCGAUGAGAUGAGCCGAUGCCGGAUUAGCUAGUUGGCGGGGUAAAGGCCCACCAAGGCGACGAUCCGUAGCUGGUCUGAGAGGAUGAUCAGCCACACUGGGACUGAGACACGGCCCAGACUCCUACGGGAGGCAGCAGUGGGGAAUUUUGGACAAUGGGGGCAACCCUGAUCCAGCCAUUCCGCGUGAGUGAA
rnacentral:rRNA from 1 species